rnacentral:rRNA from 1 species
AACGAACGCUGGCGGCAGGCCUAACACAUGCAAGUCGAGCGCCCCCUUUAGAGCACAAAGACGGAGACGCGGUGGUUGGAGAGAUCCGAUCGCUGGUUUUGGUGUUUUGUCUUCUGAUGGGGGAGCGGCGGACGGGUGAGUAACGCGUGGGAAUUUUCCUCAAGGUACGGAACAACUCAGGGAAACUUGGGCUAAUACCGUAUGAUGUCUAGCGACCAAAGAUUUAUCGCCUUGGGAUAAGCCCCGCGUCAGAUUAGGUAGUUGGUGGGGUAACGGCCUACCAAGCCUGCGAUCUGUAGCUGGUCUGAGAGGACGAUCAGCCACACUGGGACUGAGACAACGGCCCAGACUCCUACGGGAGGCAGCAGUGGGGAAUCUUGCGCAAUGGGCGAAAGACCUGACGCAGCCAUGCCGCGUGAAUGAUGAAGGUCUUAGGAUUGUAAAGUUCUUUCGUCCCGUGACGAUGAUGGAACGGUAA